GUGCACACUUCAGCAGCACAUAUACUAAAAUUGGGACCAUACAAAGGAAAUUAGCAUGGCCCCUGUGGAAGGAUGACACACAAAUUUGUGAAGUGUUCCAUAUUUUC